rnacentral:rRNA from 1 species
AGUGAACGCUGGCGGUAGGCCUAACACAUGCAAGUCGAACGGCAGCACAGUAAGAGCUUGCUCUUACGGGUGGCGAGUGGCGGACGGGUGAGGAAUACAUCGGAAUCUACUUUUUCGUGGGGGAUAAUGUAGGGAAACUUACGCUAAUACCGCAUACGACCUACGGGUGAAAGCAGGGGAUCUUCGGACCUUGCGCGAUUGAAUGAGCCGAUGUCGGAUUAGCUAGUUGGCGGGGUAAAGGCCCACCAAGGCGACGAUCCGUAGCUGGUCUGAGAGGAUGAUCAGCCACACUGGAACUGAGACACGGACCAGACUCCUACGGGAGGCGGCAGUGGGGAAUAUUGGACAAUGGGCGAAAGCCUGAUCCAGCCAUACCGCGUGGGUGAAGAAGGCCUUCGGGUUGUAAAGCCCUUUUGUUGGGAAAGAAAAGCAGCAGGUUAAUACCCCGCUGUUCUGACGGUACCCAAAGAAUAAGCACCGGCUAACUUCGUG